rnacentral:rRNA from 1 species
AAGGGCACCACAAGAACGCGUGGAGCAUGUGGCUUAAUUUGACUCAACGCGGGAAAUCUUACCAGGUCCGGACAUAUUGAGGAUUGACAGGCGAUAGUAAUAUUAUUAUAUAAUAUUGCAUAAAAAUGAUAGUCCUUUCAUGAUUAUAUGAUAGGUGGUGCAUGGUCGUUCUUAGUUCGUGGAGUGAUUUGUCUGCUUAAUUGCGUUUCAGAUAUAUAAUUAUAUAAUAUAUUAUAUAGUAAUAUAUAAUUUAAUAUUGUGCUGCCUUAUAUAUUAUUUAUAAGGAUUUUAAGUGAACAUAUUUUAUUAUACAUAUAUUAUUAUAUAUAUUUAUUAUAUAUUAAAAUGAAUGCAACGAACGUGACCGUAACCUUUUAUUGCUAUAAAUAAUAUAUAUUAUUUAUAUUAUAAUAUAGCAUAAAAUUAAAGGGACCGCUGUCUAAAUUUUAGUGUUAAAAUAGAGUAAGAUUACGGCAAUAACAGGUCUGUGAUGCCCUCAGAUGUUCUGGGCUGCACACGUGCUACAAUAAUUACAUUAAUAAGUAUCUAUUAUAAUACAUAAUAUGUUUACAUAUUAUAAUAAACCUAUUUCGAAAGUAAAUGGGUAAUCAUUUAAAAAUCGUGAUUAUUCAUACAUAUAUGGUAUAUUAAUAUUGUAUAAUACUAUACAUUUUAUAGUACUAUUACAAAUACCAUUAAUUAAUUUAAGGUGGGGAUAGUGUAUUGUUAAAUAAUACACUUGGCCUUAACUAGGAAUGCCUUGUACUCUUCUUUGGUUUAACAUUCCAAGAGGAAUACGUCCCUGCCCUUUGUACACACCGCCCCUCGCUCUUACCGAUGAAUUAUAUUAUAAAUC